GCCGGUUGCGCCCCUCAGCCUCUGGCAGGGACACCCCCUUCCCGAGCCUAGGAGGGGCGAGGGAAGGUUGCGCCCCGCGCGGGCUGUGAGGGGCUGACUGGAAGGAGGUCAAGGCUGACCAGCGUUCCCCCCGCCGACGGAAGGCGCCUGGCCGCCGAGCUGACACCUUACCCCAUGCCCAGAACGAACCUGAGCCUGCGGGAGGCUCCUUCCCGGCGCGGGCCCGAGGGAGGGGUCUGGCCCCACAGCGGCGAGUGGCGAGGGAGGGGCGCGGAGCCCGCGGCCGGGAUAGGGGACUGUCCCGGAGCCCCCUACUCUGCGCAAGUUGGCCCCGUGGGCGUCGCCGCCCAGAUAACGGGCCCUGGGCGUGGGAACAAGCCGGCCAGGCCCAGGCCAC
rnacentral:lncRNA from 1 species